rnacentral:rRNA from 1 species
GAUGAACGCUGACAGAAUGCUUAACACAUGCAAGUCUACUUGAAUUUGGGUUUUUAACUUAGGUUUGGGUGGCGGACGGGUGAGUAACGCGUAAAGAACUUGCCUCACAGCUAGGGACAACAUUUAGAAAUGAAUGCUAAUACCUAAUAUUAUGAUAAUAGGGCAUCCUAUAAUUAUGAAAGCUAUAAGCGCUGUGAGAGAGCUUUGCGUCCCAUUAGCUAGUUGGAGAGGUAACGGCUCACCAAGGCGAUGAUGGGUAGCCGGCCUGAGAGGGUGAUCGGCCACAAGGGGACUGAGACACGGCCCUUACUCCUACGGGAGGCAGCAGUGGGGAAUAUUGGACAAUGGACCGAGAGUCUGAUCCAGCAAUUCUGUGUGCACGAUGAAGUUUUUCGGGAUGUAAAGUGCUUUCAGUUGGGAAGAAAGAAAUGACGGUACCAACAGAAGAAGUGACGGCUAAAUACGUGCCAGCAGCCGCGGUAAUACGUAUGUCACGAGCGUUAUCCGGAUUUAUUGGGCGUAAAGCGCGUCUAGGUGGUUAUAUAAGUCUGAUGUGAAAAUGCAGGGCUCAACUCUGUAUUGCGUUGGAAACUGUAUAACUAGAGUACUGGAGAGGUAAGCGGAACUACAAGUGUAGAGGUGAAAUUCGUAGAUAUUUGUAGGAAUGCCGAUGGGGAAGCCAGCUUACUGGACAGAUACUGACGCUGAAGCGCGAAAACGUGGGUAGCAAACAGG